GCUGGUGUAACUCAAUUGGUAGAGUAACUGACUUGUAAUCAGUAAGUUGUCGGUUCAAGUCCGACCAUCAGCUCCA
rnacentral:tRNA from 1 species